rnacentral:tRNA from 1 species
GGGUCAGUAGCUUAAGAGGUCUGAGCGACGGUCUGAAAAACCGUAGGAUGGUGGAUCGUUAGCACUCUGACCCACCA